UUUAUUGAUAACUAAGGCAGUGAGCAUAGGAUACAGGAGGUCAGACUGGAAAUAGUGGAUAAAUACAAAUCUUGGCGUAUGGAUAAGCAACGGGGCUGAGUAUCUAAGGGAGCACGAAAGAUACAUGGCGACUAAAGGUAAUAGGAAUGCAACUGUAAUGAAAAAUAGGGCACUGUGGAAUUACAAUAGGUAUGAUGUUGUGAGAGGGAUCUGGAAAGGGGUCAUGGGUUCCUGGUCUGACAUUCGGCAAUGCGGUCUCGUGUAUGAGAUCAGAGGUUCAAGCAAGAUUACAAGUUAAGCAACGUGGCAUAGGUAG
rnacentral:lncRNA from 1 species